UACAGAGGUGGCAAGCGUUGUUCGGAAUUACUGGGCGUAAAGGGCGCGUAGGCGGUCCGAUAAGUCCUGUGUGAAAUCCCUCGGCUCAACUGAGGAACUGCACGGGAGACUGUCGGGCUUGAGUUCGGGAGAGGGAAGCGGAAUUCCGGGUGUAGCGGUGAAAUGCGUAGAGAUCGGGAAGAACAUCAGUGGCGAAGGCGGCCUGCUGGGCUGUUGCUGACGCUGAGGCGCGACAGCGUGGGGAGCAAACAGG
rnacentral:rRNA from 1 species